AUUAAAUAGUAUAAAACUAUAUUGAAAAUGAAGAGAACAAUUGCCAUUUGCCAACUAGCAGCUAGCAGCUAGCAGCAUCACAUACACACAGACACUGAUAUAUAUGUAUAUAUAUAUAGCAUUGACUAAAACUUUUUUAUUGCUGUUUUUAAUAUAUUAUAGAUUUAUAAGAGGAAUUAGUGGGUAUUAAUGAUAUUGUUGUGCAUGCAUCCAAUCCAAUCAGGACCCGUAAUUGCAUUAGGUGGUGCAGAAACUCUUUUCUUCUAGCAUUGAUCUAUUUUUUGACUUAAAAAGAGGCGAAAAAAAAUAGGAGGAUGGAAAUAGGAGAAAGAUCAGGUCUUGAAUCUACUCUUAUUCCAGUCAAGGAACUUGAAGAUGAGGAAUUAUCUCAAAAGGGCUGUUGCAGAAGGGAUUUUCUUGAGGAGGCAAAGAAGCAAUUUUGGCUUGCUGGGCCUCUUAUAACAGUUAGUAUGCUUCAGUAUUGCUUACAAGUGAUAUCAAUUAUGUUUGUUGGGCAUCUUGGUGAGCUUGCUCUUUCUGGUGCUUCCAUGGCUUCUUCCUUUGCUUCUGUUACUGGUUUUAAUGUCUUGCUAGGAAUGGGAAGUGCAUUAGAAACACUUUGUGGGCAAGCCUAUGGCGCUGAACAAUACCACAUGCUUGGAAUUCACUCGCAAAGGGCAAUGCUAACCCUCCUAGCACUAAGCAUUCCUCUUGCAAUCAUAUGGUUUUACACUAGCACCAUCCUUAUGUUUCUUGGCCAAGAUCAUGAGAUAUCCGCUGGAGCAGGAACAUUCAAUCGCUCGAUGAUUCCUGCCCUUUUCGCCUAUAGCUUGCUGCAAUGUCUAAACAGAUUUCUGCAAACACAAAACAAUGUCUUUCCUAUGAUGGUCAGCUCAGGGAUCACAGCUUGUUUGCAUAUUCUUGUGUGUUGGGUUCUUGUUUUCAAAUCAGGACUUGGAAGCAAGGGAGCUGCAUUGGCAAUUACUGUUUCCUAUUGGAUUAAUGUACUUCUGUUAGCUUUCUAUAUCAACUCCUCUCCAGCUUGCAAGAAAACUUGGACUGGGUUUUCAAAGGAGGCACUACAUGAUGUCCUUAGCUUUGUAAAACUUGCAGUUCCAUCAGCAAUCAUGAUAUGCCUUGAAUAUUGGUCAUUUGAAAUGGUGGUUCUCCUGUCUGGUCUUCUUCCAAAUCCCAAAUUAGAGACCUCUGUGCUAUCAAUAAGCCUGAACACAUGUUGGAUGGUUUAUAUGAUCUCUGUUGGCCUUGGUGGUGCCAUUAGUACAAGAGUAUCAAAUGAACUGGGUGCAGGGCGCCCGGAAGGCGCGCAACUGGCUCUUUGUGUGAUGAUCAUAAUGGCCCUCUCAGAGGGGUUAGUAGUUGGUAUUGUAACAGUUUUGCUACGCCAAGUAUGGGGAAAGCUCUACAGCAAUGAAGAGGAAGUGAUCAAAUAUGUUGCUAACAUUUUGCCUUUGCUAGCACUUUCUGAUUUCUUGGAUGGAUUCCAAUGUGUACUCUCAGGUGCUGCUAGAGGAUGUGGAUGGCAAACCCUAUGUGCUUGUAUUAACCUUGGGGCUUAUUAUGUCGUGGCAAUUCCUUGUGCUCUGCUGUUUGCUUUUGUCUUCCACAUUGGAGGCAUGGGGCUAUGGAUGGGAAUCAUAUGUGGGCUCUUGGUACAAAUUGUGGCGCUUGUUACUAUAAAUGCAUGCACCAAUUGGGAUCAAGAGGCAGCCAAAGCAAUAAACAGAGUUGGAAAAUCUGGAAGCAUUGGCUAAAAUUGAACCGUAGAUUGAAGUGAAUAAAGCAAAAUUAUGCCUUACUGGGCUUCAUGAAAAUAAUAACCAAAGAGGAGAAUUUGAGCCAAAAAUGCAUAAAUAAGCUUUAAAUGGAUUGCAGCUGUAAAAGGCUUGGAAAUAUUACACGUGGACUAUCAAUAGCGCGGGUUUAACCGAAUUUAUCAACGCCCACGAAAAAAAAAUUAAUUAGUUAUGAUGUGAUUAAUAGAUAGUUAUUUUUUAAGUUGUUUAUUUUGUUUAAGACAAUAAAGAAAUAACUAUAGUAGUUACAUGCUGAAAAAAAAACUCUAAAAAAAUGAAUUUCUAUAAGAAGUACAUAUUAAUUAAAUAAGGGGGAUGAAGGAUUAUUCUCUUUGCAGGAA